UACGAAGGGUGCAAGCGUUACUCAGAAUUACUGGGCGUAAAGCGUGCGUAGGUGGUUUGUUAAGUCUGCUGUGAAAGCCCCGGGCUCAACCUGGGAAUGGCAAUGGAUACUGGCAGGCUAGAGUGCGGUAGAGGGUAGUGGAAUUCCCGGUGUAGCGGUGAAAUGCGUAGAGAUCGGGAGGAACACCAGUGGCGAAGGCGGCUACCUGGACCAGCACUGACACUGAGGCACGAAAGCGUGGGGAGCAAACAGG
rnacentral:rRNA from 1 species